UACGUAGGGGGCAAGCGUUAUCCGGAUUUACUGGGUGUAAAGGGAGCGUAGACGGCGGUGCAAGCCAGAUGUGAAAGCCCGGGGCUCAACCCCGGGACUGCAUUUGGAACUGUGCUGCUAGAGUGUCGGAGAGGCAGGCGGAAUUCCUAGUGUAGCGGUGAAAUGCGUAGAUAUUAGGAGGAACACCAGUGGCGAAGGCGGCCUGCUGGACGAUGACUGACGUUGGGGCUCGAAAGCGUGGGGAGCAAACAGG
rnacentral:rRNA from 1 species